rfam:Gossypium raimondii Chr04_contig_1298, whole genome shotgun sequence.
UUGUUUGCAGGUGUAGCAUCUUCAAGAUUCACAUGCAAAUGCACGGUGGUGAAUGGUAAUUAUAGUAACGUACUCUCUUCAACCCCCCGCUCCCCUUUCUUCUCUUCCUAAUUUCAUUCCCAAAGUUCCUUGAAAGUGAGAAUCUUGAUGAUGCUGCAUCGGCAAUAAA